GUGUCUGUCCUUUGUACCUGUAAAUACCUCACUGGAUGAGGAGUCAUGUGAUGAAGAGUGCCUAAGUGAAGAUCAUUCAUGCGGCCUUGUGAAGACUGACACAGUGCCAGAGACUGGUAAUUCUGGAAAUAAGGUGGUGUUACAUCCAUCUGUGAGAGCUUCCAAAUUUGCUGGCUGCAGCAACCAAUACAGAAAUGGCCUAUAUUCUCGUAGUAUUCAAAAGAGGAGGACUUCACUUAGGAGGAGGAGAGCUAGAAAUCCACACAAGGAUAAUGGUGCUUUAGUUUCAGAUCUAAUAAGUAGUAGGAAAAAUGGUAUCCCUUUUUCUUCUGUGGUGUAUAAGAACAAGCUUAGGAGUUCAUUGCGGAGUAGUGCUGCAGCAAACCUCAGCAAAAUAAGUUCUAGUGUGGUUGAAGUGACUCAGGCCAUGGACUCAUCAAGCUGCUCUGCAAAUGUACUGGUUAUUGAAUCAGACAGAUGUUACAGGAUUGAAGGGGCCACUGUCACAUUAGAAAUCUCUGAUUCAAAAGAAUGGUUGCUUUUAGUGAAGAAAGAUGGGCUGACCAGGUACACGCACUUGGCACAAAAGAGUAUGAGACCUUGUUCUUCCAAUCGUAUUACUCAUGAUAUAAUAUGGACUGGGGAUGAUAAUUGGAGAUUAGAGUUUCCUAAUCGACAGGACUGGCUCAUAUUCAAGGAUCUUUAUAGGGAAUCUUCUGAUCACAAUGUGCCAGCUCCUGUUUGUAAGGCCAUCCCUGUGCCUGGAGUAUGUGAAGUUUUUGGAUAUGAAGAUAGCAACAGUAUGCCCUAUUUUAGACCAGAUGCUUACAUUUCUUUAAACAAUGAUGAGGUAGCUAGAGCUCUGGCUAG
rnacentral:misc_RNA from 1 species